rnacentral:sRNA from 1 species
UUUUGUUCAGACCGAUAGACAGUAUUCGCUUGGUUUCUCUUUCCCUAAAACAUCUACCUAUGGUGGACCAAUUAUUGAGGGUCUCAUUUCUAUUGCCCAGGAUCCAAAGACAAAAAAUUGGUGGAUAAAUGCAGGAGAGAUAAACAUUGGUUAUUAUCCAGCAGCAUUGUUUUCGAACUUAGGAUCAGCAGCGAUGGUUGGAUGGGGUGGAAGAACACAAGGUAAAGCUAAUGGUCCUAGUCCUCCAAUGGGAUCUGGUUAUUUUCCUG